rnacentral:rRNA from 1 species
CCUGGCGGCCAUAGCGGUUUGGUACCACCCGAUCCCUUCUCGAACUCGGAAGUGAAACGAACCCGCGCCGAUGGUAGUGUGCUUCCGCAUGCGAGAGUAGGUCACUGCCAGGG